GAAAAGAAACCAMCAGGGAUUGCCCCAGUAACGGCGAGUGAAGCGGCAACAGCUCAAAUUUGAAAUCUGGCCCCCUUAGGGGCCCGAGUUGUAAUUUGCAGAGGAUGCUUUUGGCGAGGCGCCUUCCGAGUUCCCUGGAACGGGACGCCAUAGAGGGUGAGAGCCCCGUCUGGUUGGAUGCCGAGCCUCUGUAAAGCUCCUUCGACGAGUCGAGUAGUUUGGGAAUGCUGCUCUAAAUGGGAGGUAUAUGUCUUCUAAAGCUAAAUAUUGGCCAGAGACCGAUAGCGCACAAGUAGAGUGAUCGAAAGAUGAAAAGCACUUUGAAAAGAGGGUUAAAUAGUACGUGAAAUUGUUGAAAGGGAAGCGCUCAUGACCAGACUUGGGCCCGGUGAAUCAUCCAGCGUUCACGCUGGUGCACUUUGCCGGGCUCAGGCCAGCAUCAGUUCGCGCCGGGGGAUAAAGGCUCUGGGAAUGUGGCUCCUCCGGGAGUUUAUAGCCCUCUGCAUAAUACCCUGGGGCGGACUGAGGUCCGCGCAUCUGCAAGGAUGCUGGCGUAAUGGUCAUCAGCGACCCGUCUUGAAACACGGACCAAGGAGUCGUCUUCGUAUGCGAGUGUUCGGGUGUCAAACCCCUACGCGUAAUGAAAGUGAACGCAGGUGAGAGCUUCGGCGCAUCAUCGACCGAUCCUGAUGUUCUCGGAUGGAUUUGAGUAAGAGCAUACGGGGCCGGACCCGAAAGAAGGUGAACUAUGCCUGUAUAGGGUGAAGCCAGAGGAAACUCUGGUGGAGGCUCGCAGCGGUUCUGACGUGCAAAUCGAUCGUCAAAUAUGGGCAUGGGGGCGAAAGACUAAUCGAACCU
rnacentral:rRNA from 1 species